rnacentral:rRNA from 1 species
GACGAACGCUGGCGGCGCGCUUAACACAUGCAAGUCGAACGAGAACCAGCCCUUCGGGGCUGGGGAAAGUGGCGAACGGGUGAGUAACACGUGGGUAGUCUGCCCUCGGCACCGGAAUAGCCCGGGGAAACCCGGAUUAAUGCCGGAUAGCCUCUCCGGUCCUUGGACUGGUGGGAAAAGGUAGCUUCGGCCUCUGGCCGAGGAGGCGCCCGCGGCGGAUUAGCUUGUUGGUGAGGUAACGGCUACCCAAGGCGACGAUCCGUAGCUGGUCUGAGAGGGCGAUCAGCCACACUGGGACUGAGACCCGGCCCAGACUCCUACGGGAGGCAGCAGUGGGGAAUCUUGCGCAAUGGGCGAAAGCCUGACGCAGCGACGCCGCGUGCGGGAAGAAGGCCUUCGGGUUGUAAACCGCUUUCAGGAGGGACGAAGCCACUCGGGUUAAUAGCCCAGAGGGUGACGGUACCUCCAGAAGAAGCCCCGGCUAACUACGUGCCAGCAGCCGCCGUAACAC